ACGUAGACACACACUGUACAAUGGAUUUCUCGGCUCCCACAUCGAUGAAGAACGCAGCAAAGCGCGAUAGGUAGUGUGAAUUGCAGAAUACCGUGAAUCAUCGAAUUUUUGAACGCAUAUUGCGCCCGGGUUUGAGCCUGGGCAUGUCUGCCUCAGC
rnacentral:rRNA from 1 species